CUCUUGGUUCUGGCAUCGAUGAAGAACGCAGCGAAAUGCGAUAAGUAGUGUGAAUUGCAGAAUUCAGUGAAUCAUCGAAUCUUUGAACGCACAUUGCGCCCCUUGGUAUUCCAUGGGGCAUGCCUGUUCGAGCGUCAUUUGUACCUUCAAGCUCUGCU
rnacentral:rRNA from 1 species